rnacentral:rRNA from 1 species
GUGGGGAAUCUUGCACAAUGGGGGCAACCCUGAUGCAGCGACGCCGCGUGAGCGAUGAAGCCCUUCGGGGCGUAAAGCUCUUUCGACCGGAACGAUAAUGACGGUACCGGGAGAAGAAGCUGCGGCUAACUACGUGCCAGCAGCCGCGGUAAUACGUAGGCAGCAAGCGUUGUUCGGAGUUACUGGGCGUAAAGAGUGCGUAGGCGGUUUUCUAAGUUCGGUGUGAAACCUCCCGGCUUAACUGGGAGGGUGCGCCGAAGACUGGGAAGCUGGAGUGUGGGAAAGGCAGGCGGAAUUCCUGGUGUAGCGGUGAAAUGCGUAGAUAUCAGGAGGAACACCGGCGGUGUAGACGGCUUGCUAGACCAUAACUGACGCUGAGGCACGAAAGCGUGGGUAGCAAACA